GCCUGUGUUGUGUUGCCGAGUGAGGGCGUGACGGUCUCGUAACCUGGCCAGCGAACGAAAAGGUGUGUGAGUCGUCACUUGUCUCUCUUGUCGUCACUUGUCCUGUCUCCUGUCGGAGGCGUACGUAUGUGUGUGUGUGUAACACACUGUAAGACUCUUACGUUCGUUUGAGUCGUCUAAAGAAGGGUUGCGGCGUUUGCCUGGCCACUUCCGCGUAGUGUUUAAUAUAUUUCAAGUGCUUGGCCGAAUCCGCUCGCCGGCCGAACACAUUGCAACAACU